GAUGAACGCUGGCGGCGUGCCUAAUACAUGCAAGUCGAGCGAACGGACGAGAAGCUUGCUUUUCUGAUGUUAGCGGCGGACGGGUGGGUAACACGUGGAUAACCUACCUAUAAGACUGGGAUAACUUCGGGAAACCGGAGCUAAUACCGGAUAAUAUUUUGAACCGCAUGGUUCAAAAGUGAAAGACGGUCUUGCUGUCACUUAUAGAUGGAUCCGCGCUGCAUUGGCUAGUUGGUAAGGUAACGGCUUACCAAGGCAACGAUGCAUAGCCGACCUGAGAGGGUGAUCGGCCACACUGGAACUGAGACACGGUCCAGACUCCUACGGGAGGCAGCAGUAGGGAAUCUUCCGCAAUGGGCGAAAGCCUGACGGAGCAACGCCGCGUGAGUGAUGAAGGUCUUCGGAUCGUAAAACUCUGUUAUUAGGGAAGAACAUAUGUGUAAGUAACUGUGCACAUCUUGACGGUACCUAAUCAGAAAGCCACGGCUAACUACGUG
rnacentral:rRNA from 1 species